CUUCGGAGAAGAGCGGCGGACGGGUGAGUAACGCGUGGGUAACCUGCCCUGUACACACGGAUAACAUACCGAAAGGUAUGCUAAUACGGGAUAACAUAAGAAAUUCGCAUGUUUUUCUUAUCAAAGCUCCGGCGGUACAGGAUGGACCCGCGUCUGAUUAGCUAGUUGGUGAGGUAACGGCUCACCAAGGCGACGAUCAGUAGCCGACCUGAGAGGGUGAUCGGCCACAUUGGAACUGAGACACGGUCCAAACUCCUACGGGAGGCAGCAGUGGGGAAUACUGCACAAUGGGCGAAAGCCUGAUGCAGCAACGCCGCGUGAGCGAUGAAGGCCUUCGGGUCGUAAAGCUCUGUCCUCAAGGAAGAUAAUGACGGUACUUGAGGAGGAAGCCCCGGCUAACUACGUGCCAGCAGCCGCGGUAAUACGUAGGGGGCUAGCGUUAUCCGGAUUUACUGGGCGUAAAGGGUGCGUAGGCGGUCUUUUAAGUCAGGAGUGAAAGGCUACGGCUCAACCGUAGUAAGCUCUUGAAACUGGAGGACUUGAGUGCAGGAGAGGAGAGUGGAAUUCCUAGUGUAGCGGUGAAAUGCGUAGAUAUUAGGAGGAACACCAGUAGCGAAGGCGGCUCUCUGGACUGUAACUGACGCUGAGGCACGAAAGCGUGGGGAGCAAACAGGAUUAGAUACCCUGGUAGUCCACGCCGUAAACGAUGAGUACUAGGUGUCGGGGGUUACCCCC
rnacentral:rRNA from 1 species